GAGUGCGGCGUCUAUACAUGCAAGUCGAGCGAACAGAUAAGGAGCUUGCUCCUUUGACGUUAGCGGCGGACGGGUGAGUAACACGUGGGUAACCUACCUAUAAGACUGGGAUAACUUCGGGAAACCGGAGCUAAUACCGGAUAACAUUUGGAACCGCAUGGUUCUAAAGUGAAAGAUGGUUUUGCUAUCACUUAUAGAUGGACCCGCGCCGUAUUAGCUAGUUGGUAAGGUAACGGCUUACCAAGGCAACGAUACGUAGCCGACCUGAGAGGGUGAUCGGCCACACUGGAACUGAGACACGGUCCAGACUCCUACGGGAGGCAGCAGUAGGGAAUCUUCCGCAAUGGGCGAAAGCCUGACGGAGCAACGCCGCGUGAGUGAUGAAGGGUUUCGGCUCGUAAAACUCUGUUAUUAGGGAAGAACAAAUGUGUAAGUAACUGUGCACGUCUUGACGGUACCUAAUCAGAAAGCCACGGCUAACUACGUGCCAGCAGCCGCGGUAAUACGUAGGUGGCAAGCGUUAUCCGGAAUUAUUGGGCGUAAAGCGCGCGUAGGCGGUUUCUUAAGUCUGAUGUGAAAGCCCACGGCUCAACCGUGGAGGGUCAUUGGAAA
rnacentral:rRNA from 2 species